rnacentral:rRNA from 1 species
CAGUAGCCGCGGUAAUACGUAGGUGGCAAGCGUUGUCCGGAAUUAUUGGGCGUAAAGGGCUCGCAGGCGGUUUCUUAAGUCUGAUGUGAAAGCCCCCGGCUCAACCGGGGAGGGUCAUUGGAAACUGGGAAACUUGAGUGCAGAAGAGGAGAGUGGAAUUCCACGUGUAGCGGUGAAAUGCGUAGAGAUGUGGAGGAACACCAGUGGCGAAGGCGACUCUCUGGUCUGUAACUGACGCUGAAGCACGAAAGCGUGGGGAGCAAACAGGAUUAGAUACCCGCGUAGUCCCUGUCUCUUAUAC